rnacentral:lncRNA from 1 species
GAAAGGAAAAAAUUAAUUAGAUGACAAACCUUUGAGAAGAAUUCAUGUCGGUGGCAGCUUGGAGCGAUAAUAUAUCGUUCUGCACGAGCAGAUAAUGUGCUACUGAUAAUCAACAAAAGUAGGCUGGCACAUACAUAAUUGACUUCAAAUGACGCUACUGGAAGAAGGGUCUAGGAUCUGGAGGGCAAUCAUAAUUCUAGGUGGGUAUGUUAGUUCCCUAAUGUUGGAAAACAACUGAUCAGAAUGCUUGAAUAAAACUAGUCAGAGUGCAUACUGAGUGGCACUAAAAUUAAGAUUAGAAAAUAAAAAAAAUCACUAUCAUCCAAGCAGAGAGCAGUGCGAUUCAGGUGUAUACAUGCCCUCUAAAUACAGGAUUUCAUUCCUCAGUGAG